rnacentral:rRNA from 1 species
ACCACCGGCGGACGGCUCAGUAACACGUCGGUAACCUACCCUCGGGAGGGGGAUAACCCCGGGAAACUGGGGCUAAUUCCCCAUAGGCCUGAGGUACUGGAAGGUCCUCAGGCCGAAAGGGACUUAUGUCCGCCCGAGGAUGGGCCGGCGGCCGAUUAGGUAGUUGGUGGGGUAAUGGCCCACCAAGCCGAAGAUCGGUACGGGCUGUGAGAGCAGGAGCCCGGAGAUGGACACUGAGACACGGGUCCAGGCCCUACGGGGCGCAGCAGGCGCGAAACCUCCGCAAUGCGGGAAACCGCGACGGGGGGACCCCGAGUGCCGUGGCAACGCCACGGCUUUUCCGGAGUGUAAAAAGCUCCGGGAAUAAGGGCUGGGCAAGGCCGGUGGCAGCCGCCGCGGUAAUACCGGCGGCCCGAGUGGUGGCCGCUAUUAUUGGGCCUAAAGCGUCCGUAGCCGGGCCCGUAAGUCCCUGGCGAAAUCCCACGGCUCAACCGUGGGGCUUGCUGGGGAUACUGCGGGUCUUGGGACCGGGAGAGGCGGGGGGUACCCCUGGGGUAGGGGUGGAAUCCUAUAAUCCCAGGGGGACCGCCAGUGGCGAAG